GAGGAACUACAGCAUGACUUACUGCUGAACUGGUUGCUGCAGUAAGCAACAGGAGAAUGCUACAAGCUUUCAGCAGCUGCUACCAUCUUAUUGAGCUUCGCCAUCCCAUGGGAGGAGGACCAGAGCCAGAGCCUUCCCUGCACUUGCCAGGAAAUCCACGGGUUUAUAGAUUUGAAGACUUGGAGGAGGCUAUCAUGAGCGUCUUCUCUAAACCAGUGUGGAACAUGGCCAUUCUACGUUCUGCAACGGCUUUCUUUCCUUCUACCAACUGGUCUCUGUGUGCAGCUGAACGCUUGGAAGAUCUGCAAUGUGAAGCUCAGAGGGUCAUCUUCAGAAUGUUAUUUCUCUACUUAUAAACCUCAAGUGAUGCUGAGGAUAUGACUGAAAACACUGAAAUCAAUUUCUAAUUGAGGAAGAACAGUAGCUGCUUUGGAAGAAAACUAUUUAAAAGAAAAAAUCAACAGCAACAACCAAUUUCUACCUGACAUGAACAUAAUUACAAGAGGUACCAACUACAGCUUAUUUAAGACAGGCAGAUGUUCCAGUUAUACCAUCAGCCAACCAAACAACAAAAAAAAACCCUCCAAAAUUGUUGGACCUGUUUAAUCAAAGCCAAUGCAGAUAUGUGACUACACCUGCUCCCUUCCUUUGUCUGUACUCUCAGCACCUGCUGAUCCACUUCUGUCUCAUUUUGUCUUGACAGGGUGAGAAAUCGCUUCUAUGCCUGCUUGACUGUGCAGUUAGGAGCCUGCUCUGACUUUCACAACACAUUUUCAGCAUCUUGUUGCUGUAAUUUACCUUUGCAGCACCUGGGCCUAAGAGCAAAUAAGAAAGGGGAAGCAAAAAGAAGUGCCAGUGGGUGAUGAGUAAUGCCAGGAGAAUGCAGGUUCAGUACAAGUUAAAAGAAACUGAUCCAAAAAUAUUGCAGGGUGAAUUAGGCUAGAUAUGGAAGCUUACCAGAACAUGCAUAAAGAUUUGAGCUUUAGCUCCAGCUCCUAGGGACUGCUAUCUAAUUCUCAGUCACCAUAUAACGACAAAUAAUAGCUCUUACGGACAGCGAUCUAUUUCAGGUAAAGGGAAGUGUGCAAAGGUAAAGCUAUGGCUUUGAAUCUUCUCAGGCAGGGAAGGGCACUGAGCUGAGACUCACACACGUUGGACUAAUGAAGAAAAAGGAAUGUGCUACCAGUUUUGAAAGCAGUUAUGCAUUUUAUAGGAAGCCAAACCUGAACUCUGGAACUACUUUAAAUAAAAUUUGAGGAGGAAAAAUGGAGGCAGGAACACCCAGUUUUGAUCAUCCUAUGCCGUGAGCUAUGCUAUGAACUGCUUUGCCCUAUUAACACUGGGGUGUUUCUGAACAUGCUGAAGACCCUUUGUAACAUGGGAAACUUUUAAGUUCUGUCUUAAUGUAAAUACAGUAACUUCAAUGGACAGCUGAAUAAAGAUUCUGAAGA
rnacentral:lncRNA from 7 species